rnacentral:lncRNA from 1 species
GUCCAACUCUCAGAAUAAAAAUAUAUACAAAGUCAUUUAAACACAAAUCAAUUAAGGUCUCAUGAAAUCUCACCUUGAACUAACAUUUUUCUAAAAAUGAAUUGUUGUUAAAGUCCCUUUCUUAUUGAGCCAAGUAGACUCCCUUAAGAGAAUGAGCAUAUACUGAAGGCCAUGGGGCCCAGGUCGAGUCCAUAAUAAAACCAAACCUUAUGGCUAUAGACUGAUUUCUCUAAGCUCCACGUUAAACCCAUCAGCCCUUGAAACUUUGCACUUUAGCACAUAUUGGGUAUAUAGUAGCCUUUGGUGAAUUAUUCACUUAACCAUUUAUAAUUACACAACCUGCUUUUCAUAGAAGUACAAGAGCAUGCCUCUUCUCUUUUUCAAAACAAAAACAGAACCACCAAGCUCACAUAUGCACCCAUCAAUUACACAAUAUUUACAAACCAAACAUGCACUAACUCAAUUCUAGAUAAUGUUGAAAUCCAAAUAAGGAUUCUCAUUCAAUCCCAUACGUAUGUUCAAUUAUUCACCAAUAAUUCUCACAUGCCCAGCUUCUGAACAUAAUACUCAACAUAAAACCAACAGUCUCAAAGCGCAAUUAAACAUAUCUAACAAAACUCUCACCAAUUCACAACUCAAAACAAGCUAUACUAAAUUACUUAUUAAAUGUACAAUUAUUCAAUAAUAACAACAUAACGAACACAUAACAAGACCAAAUAAAUACAGAAUCAAGUAAUAUAAAAUAGACUGCAAUGAAACAUUGUAUCAUCAACGUUCUCAUUUCCAAUUUCAACAUGUCAUUUGAGGUCCAAAGCAUACCCGAAUACAUCAAUCAAAACAAUAGAGAAGAUGUGUUUUAGAGUCACAAAAAUGAGAAGUUCUGCAACAUCAGCAAUAUUUCAGCAGCAAUGGAAUAGUGCACAACAACUUUUAAACCAUCUUUGAAUCCAAAAUAAACUAAAAAUCCUUUGAAGGUUUCAGGGUUAAUAGGAUUAAAAGAAGACCCUCAGCUAAUUUCAACCAAACAAAGGCAGUAAAACUUAAGAAUUCUUUCCAGGUCUAAGACUCAGUUGUUUCUCAGUUUUUAGGUUCUUUUAUAUAUGAAC